AUCGCUUCUCGGCCUUUUGGCUAAGAUCAAGUGUAGUAUCUGUUCUUAUCAGUUACAAGGCGAGAAGCAAUGUAGGAUGGCGGCGACGUCGGCCAAUUUUUCGGAGAGGAAUACAUGGUCGUAUGGAACGAGGAAUACCUUGAGAUUCGAACUAAUGGAUAAAGAAAAGGAUUUCCAUGACAGAAUUAAUUUUGGACGAAGGAUUCUUU
ensembl:snRNA U2 U2 spliceosomal RNA